UCCUCACAUCCUGCUGAGAUUUUCUCCCUCUAUCCUCACCUCUCUUUUGUUUACUGUGAGCGAGAGAACAGGAGGAGGACGGAGCUUCAGCAGACCCGUCCCUGAAGAAGAUCCAGCCAGAAGAGUGAGAUCAGUCUGUAAACUCUUUCAUUUCUUUCUUUUAGUUUAGGGAGAGAUGUUUAUUCUGGAGAUUCUCAGAAUUAAUCAAGAUUAAAAUCUGAAUAUUUAAUGAAAAUCUUUAUUUAGAAUAAAAUCACUGCUAAUGUUAAAAUAAUGUGGGAGAAGAGUAACAGCGCUUUACUGAAGAUAUUUCAAAUAAAUGGUUCUGCAGUUUAUCUGAUUGGUUUGUUUAUUGAGAGAUGUAUUGAGAGAUUGUGUUAGAGGUGAAAGGCGGAUGGAUCAGCCGGGGCUCGGUGCAGCUCUUUAUCAGGUGUAAGUCUGGAAUUCCGCUAGUUCUGAACUAUUCGUGAUUGGUAAAAGUUCACUACUAGCAGAACUCGGAUUUACACCUGAAUGCCAGCGGAAGCUCAGGCUCAUGACUCUUUCUGAUCUUCAGUGAAAAGCUUUUCCACUUCGGGUAUUUAAACUUUCAGCUCUUUGCUCUUUCUUUAGGAACUUCAGUUUCUGCAUUUUAAAUAUGAAAAACCAUCAACAAAAAAGAUGAUAAAUCAGCAAGGCUAUAUCAUUUAUUAUACCGCAGUUUUAUGAGUGAUAUUUUUAGCCAGUGUUGUUCCAAAUUCAGCACCCCUGCCAGGAAAAGCACCCCCUCUCUGGAGAGGCUGCAGGUGAUAUUAUUAUUUUUCAUCCUUUCCUGAGAGGGGGGGCUUUUCCUGGCGGGGGUGCUGAAUUCGGCAGAACACCGGAAGUGUUUAUGACCAAACAGAUCCUAUUUUCUCCUCCUCUUUAACUGAAAAUCUUUCAGUAAACAGCGAUAAUAGAACUGUGGUAUAAUAAUCUCAGUAACACACUCGAGGUGAUGUAAUGUAUAAUAUUGCUGAUCUACAGCUGCAGCACAGCAGCGCCGAUAUUACACCUUACAUCACAAACCUCCAGUGUAUUAUUGCUUAAAUAUGUUAAAUAUGUGCCUUGUUUUUUAUCAUCAUUUUAUGUUAAGUGUAUAUGUAAUAUUAUUUCUUUGUUUAUCCUGUUAAUGUUUAAUUAAUGUUGUAGAUAAAUUAAAUACAUUUUUUUUACUAAUAUUUGUUUUCUCUUUCACAUCAGCUUUUCCGUAUGAGAAGAUUUACAGUUUUUCUUUAUUUACAGAUCCGGAUGUAAAAAUUCAGGAGAGAAAAUUACUGACAAGUCGAGGAGGACACCGGUCACUGUCCCCCACCACUGACCAGCAAACAGCCUGUGUCCCAAAUACCACCCACAGAGAUACUUCACUACUGUACUUAAGUACUAAAAUACUGUAUCUGUAUCUACUGGAGUAUCAUUUAUACUUUACUACUGUACUUAGGUACUGAAAUACUGUAUUUAACAAUUUCACCAUCCUAAACACCUUCAACACUUUCACCACGUAAACAUAUAUAGUAAAAUGUAGAAUACACCUGCAGUACUCGAGUACUCAAGAAAGUGUUAAAUACUUUAGUACUUGUGUUUAAGUUUGGAGCUUAAAGAACUGGUGGAGUCGGGCUCAUAACUGUGAUCAGACUGGAAAACUUUGAGACAGAAUCCUGAUUAGACUCUAAAUGGGUUCACACCACUUUUAAAUUCUAAAUAAAGAGGUUUAAUUGAUUCAGAAUAAAACAGCACAGGAAACACAAACUCUUGAUGCAGAUUUGAAACAGUUUUUAAACUUUGCCUUUAUUGUACAUGUUUUUUUUUUCCAUUUUUUCAUAAAGCCAUGCAUUUUUACUAUACUCAAAUAACAUCAUUAAAAUCAAUCAUAAAAUCCUA